GAAAGUUAGUUUCAGUGAUGUUGAUGGAUCUACAUGUUACGAUUUCAUGAACUCUCCUGGUGUGUUGAGUAAUUAUUCAUCCAACAAGCUAUGCAAGGAAGCAUCAGUUCCGGGGAACCAUAAAUAUGAAUCUGAGACUCUGCAUGGAAGGCCUGCUUCUGUGUCAAGUACAAACUCUACAUGUUCUGAUCAGUCGUCAUCAUCUCUCUCCCCCCCUUCCACGUGCAUUGGAGCAU
rnacentral:misc_RNA from 1 species